AGUUGAACGGAAAGGCCCCUUCGGGGGUGCUCGAGUAGCGGACGGGUGAGUAACACGUAGGAAUCUGCCCCAUAGUGGGGGAUAACUGGGAGAAAUUCUGGCUAAUACCCCAUAGGUCGCAAGAUUAAAGCAGUAAUGCGCUUUGGGAGGAGCCUGCGGCUGAUUAGCUAGUUGGUGAGGUAAAGGCUCACCAAGGCGACGAUCAGUAGCUGGUCUGAGAAGACGACCAGCCACAAUGGGACUGAGAUACGGCCCAUACUCCUACGGGAGGCAGCAGUAGGGAAUUUUGCGCAAUGGACGAAAGUCUGACGCAGCGAUACCGUGUGUGGGAAGAAGCCCCGUGGGGUGUAAACCACUGUCGGAAGGGACGAAAAAAAUGACGGUACCUUCAAAGGAAGCACCGGCUAACUCUGUGCCAGCAGCCGCGGUAAUACAGAGGGUGCGAGCGUUGUCCGGAUUUAUUGGGCGUAAAGAGUUUGUAGGCGGCUAAGCAAGUCAGAAGUGAAAUAAUGGGGCUCAACUCCAUCCACGCUUUUGAAACUACUUGGCUAGAGACAGUUAGAGGUGAAUGGAAUUCCCAGUGUAGCGGUGAAAUGCGUAGAUAUUGGGAGGAACACCAGAGGCGAAAGCGAUUCACUGGAGCUGUUCUGACGCUGAGAAACGAAAGCUAGGGUAGCAAAUGGGAUUA
rnacentral:rRNA from 1 species